CAGCAGCCGCGGUAAUACGUAGGUGGCAAGCGUUGUCCGGAAUUAUUGGGCGUAAAGGGCUCGCAGGCGGUUUCUUAAGUCUGAUGUGAAAGCCCCCGGCUUAACCGGGGAGGGUCAUUGGAAACUGGGAAACUUGAGUGCAGAAGAGGAGAGUGGAAUUCCACGUGUAGCGGUGAAAUGCGUAGAGAUGUGGAGGAACACCAGUCGCGAAGGCGACUCUCUGGUCUGUAACUGACGCUGAGGAGCGAAAGCGUGGGGAGCGAACAGGAUUAGAUACCCCAGUAGUCCCUGUCUCUUAUAC
rnacentral:rRNA from 1 species